UACGAAGGGGGCUAGCGUUGUUCGGAAUCAUUGGGCGUAAAGCGCACGUAGGCGGAUUUGUAAGUCAGGGGUGAAAUCCCGAGGCUCAACCUCGGAACUGCCUUUGAUACUGCAAAUCUCGAGUCCGGAAGAGGUGAGUGGAAUUCCUAGUGUAGAGGUGAAAUUCGUAGAUAUUAGGAAGAACACCAGUGGCGAAGGCGGCUCACUGGUCCGGUACUGACGCUGAGGUGCGAAAGCGUGGGGAGCAAACAGG
rnacentral:rRNA from 1 species